UACAGAGGUCCCGAGCGUUGUUCGGAUUCACUGGGCGUAAAGGGUGCGCAGGUGGGUUGGCAAGUUCGAUGUGAAAGCCCCGGGCUUAACCCGGGAAAGGCAUUGAAAACUGCUGAUCUGGAGGAUUGGAGGGGGGACUGGAAUUCUUGGUGUAGCAGUGAAAUGCGUAGAUAUCAAGAGGAACACCAGUGGCGAAGGCGAGUCCCUGGACAAUACCUGACACUGAGGCACGAAAGCCGGGGGAGCAAACAGG
rnacentral:rRNA from 1 species